rnacentral:rRNA from 1 species
UUUCGCAAUGCCCGAAAGGGUGACGAAGCGACGCCGCGUGCGGGAAGAAGGCCUUCGGGUCGUAAACCGCUGUCGGGAGUUAAGAAGUGCAAGGGUGUUAAUAGCAUCUUUGCUUGACUAAGGCUCCGGAGGAAGCCACGGCUAACUCUGUGCCAGCAGCCGCGGUAAUACAGAGGCGGCAAGCGUUGUUCGGAAUUAUUGGGCGUAAAGAGCACGUAGGCGGCCGUGCAAGUCGGUUGUGAAAGCCUUCCGCUCAACGGAAGAACGGCAUCCGAUACUGCAUGGCUCGAGUGAGGGAGGGGAGAGUGGAACUUCUGGUGGAGCGGUGAAAUGCGUAGAUAUCAGAAGGAACACCGGCGGCGAAAGCGACUCUCUGGCCCGUAACUGACGCUGAGUGUGCGAAAGCUAGGGGAGCAAACGGGAUUAGAUACCCCGGUAGUCCUAGCCGUAAACGAUGGGCACUAAGUAGAGGGGUUUU